rnacentral:rRNA from 1 species
CCUACGGGAGGCAGCAGUAGGGAAUCUUCCGCAAUGGACGAAAGCCUGAUGGAGCAACGCCGCGUGAGUGAAGAAGGUUUUCGGAUCGUAAAACUCUGUUGUAAGGGAAGAACAAGUACAGUAGUAACUGGCUGUACCUUGACGGUACCUUAUUAGAAAGCCACGGCUAACUACGUGCCAGCAGCCGCGGUAAU